rnacentral:rRNA from 1 species
GACGAACGCUGGCGGCGUGCUUAACACAUGCAAGUCGAACGGAAAGGCCCUGCUUUUGUGGGGUGCUCGAGUGGCGAACGGGUGAGUAACACGUGAGUAACCUGCCCUUGACUUUGGGAUAACUUCAGGAAACUGGGGCUAAUACCGGAUAGGAGCUCCUGCUGCAUGGUGGGGGUUGGAUAGUUUCGGCGGUUGGGGAUGGACUCGCGGCUUAUCAGCUUGUUGGUGGGGUAGUGGCUUACCAAGGCUUUGACGGGUAGCCGGCCUGAGAGGGUGACCGGCCACAUUGGGACUGAGAUACGGCCCAGACUCCUACGGGAGGCAGCAGUGGGGAAUAUUGCACAAUGGGCGGAAGCCUGAUGCAGCAACGCCGCGUGCGGGAUGACGGCCUUCGGGUUGUAAACCGCUUUCGAAUGUGACGAAGCGUGAGUGACGGUAAUGGGUAAAGAAGCACCGGCUAACUACGUG